rnacentral:rRNA from 1 species
AGUGAACGCUGGCGGCGUGCUUAACACAUGCAAGUCGAACGAGAACGGAUUAUAGCUCGCUAUAAUUGUAAGCUAAGUGGUGCACGGGUGUGUAAUGUAUAGGUAAUAUGCCUCUUACUAAGGGAUAACAAAUGGAAACGUUUGCUAAUACCUUAUACUCCUUAUUAACAGAAGUUAAUAAGGGAAAGAUUUAUUGGUAAGAGAUUAGCCUGUAUUGUAUCAGUUAGUUGGUGGGGUAAUGGCUUACCAAGACUAUGACACAUAACUGGUUUGAGAGGAUGAUCAGUCACACUGGAACUGAGACACGGUCCAGACUCCUACGGGAGGCAGCAGUGGGGAAUAUUGCACAAUGGACGAAAGUCUGAUGCAGCAACGCCGCGUGGAGGAUGACACAUUUCGGUGCGUAAACUCCUUUUAUAUGAGAAGAUAAUGACGGUAUUAUAUGAAUAAGCACCGGCUAACUCCGUGCCAGCAGCCGCCGUAA